rnacentral:rRNA from 1 species
GAUUAUGGCUCAGGAUGAACGCUGGCGGCGUGCUUAACACAUGCAAGUCGAACGAAGCUCCUUGAACUGAAGAUUCGUCUGAUGGGAUAGGAAGACUUAGUGGCGGACGGGUGAGUAACGCGUGGGUAACCUGCCGUAUACAGGGGGAUAACAGUUAGAAAUGACUGCUAAUACCGCAUAAGCGCACAGUAAGGCAUCUUACAGUGUGAAAAACUCCGGUGGUAUACGAUGGACCCGCGUCUGAUUAGCCAGUUGGCAGGGUAACGGCCUACCAAAGCGACGAUCAGUAGCCGGCCUGAGAGGGUGAACGGCCACAUUGGGACUGAGACACGGCCCAAACUCCUACGGGAGGCAGCAGUGGGGAAUAUUGCACAAUGGGGGAAACCCUGAUGCAAGCGACGCCGCGUGAGUGAAGAAGCAUUUCGGUGCGUAAAGCUCUAUCAGCAGGGAAGAAAAUGACGGUACCUGACUAAGAAGCCCCGGCUAACUACGUGCCAGCCGCCGC